rnacentral:lncRNA from 1 species
UGACAUUUUAGCCAAGAACAAAAAGUGUGAUGUUUUGAUUCAAAGUUUUGGUUAAUUUCAUAAAGUCUUUGUUUUAAGUUGGUUGGUGUGACUAUUCCAUCAUCAAAAACAUUUAUUUGAAAAGGUGAUGGAAAUGUUGUAAGAGUGUUUAAUUUAUGUACAUAAUUGUUUUUCUUUCUUACACACAUGUUCCCACCAACCAAUUUCAACUUGCAAGGCUUUAUGACUUAGUUGAAAAAAUUUCCAAAUUUUGUGGCUUCAAUUUUUCCCUCCCUCUCUCCUAAAACCGGCCCUCCCUCAAGUGGGAGUACUUUUGGGGCUUUUAUGCAAUUACAUAAAGUUUUGAUACUUUUUGUGUAUUUGCACUUUG